UACGUAGGGUGCAAGCGUUAAUCGGAAUUACUGGGCGUAAAGCGUGCGCAGGCGGCUAUGCAAGACAGAUGUGAAAUCCCCGGGCUCAACCUGGGAACUGCAUUUGUGACUGCAUAGCUAGAGUACGGUAGAGGGGGAUGGAAUUCCGCGUGUAGCAGUGAAAUGCGUAAAUAUGCGGAGGAACACCGAUGGCGAAGGCAAUCCCCUGGACCUGUACUGACGCUCAUGCACGAAAGCGUGGGGAGCAAACAGG
rnacentral:rRNA from 1 species